CAAAUGUAAUUGUCUUUGUAUUCUGUCACAUCAAAAUCCAGAUAUUUUGUUGUAGUUUUUCUUUUUUUUUUUGAGACAGGAUCGGUGCAGUGGUGCAGUCUCAGCUCACUGCAGCCUCAAACUCCUGGGCAGCUCAGGGACAGGGUCUCACUGUGUUGCCUAGGCUGGUCUCAAACUCCUGGGCUCAAGUGAUCGUCCCUCCUUGGCCUCCCGAAGUGCCGGAAUUAUAGGUGUGGACCACCAUGCCUGGCCUUGUAGUUUAUUUCUAAGUUCAAAUUAAUGUUGGUGCCUUUCCUCCUUUUUCUUGGCAGAUGGUUUACUAGACAGAGUCUUGCCAUGCUGUCCAGGCUGGAGUGCAGUGGUGUGAUCUCGGCUCACUGCAACCUCCACCUCCCGGGCUCCAGCAAUCCUCCCACCUCAGCCUCCCUAGGAGCUGAGACUACAGUGCACAGCCAGAGAACAACACAUCACACACAGGAAACAGUUGUGCUCAUGUGAUGGGGGCCUCAGCACUAGGAAGGAGUGGACUAUUGGCGCAUGUAGCAGCUUGAAUAAAUCUGAAAGUCACUACACUGCGUAAGAGAAGCCAAAUAAAAAAGUUCAUGCUGUGUACAGAGGGUGUUGAGAAUGCCUCCUACGUGACGGAAAGCAGAUCCGUGGUUCCCUGCAGACCGGCAGGAGCAGAU
rnacentral:lncRNA from 1 species